rnacentral:rRNA from 1 species
CCUACGUGGGCUGCAGUGGGGAAUAUUGGACAAUGGGCGAAAGCCUGAUCCAGCCAUGCCGCGUGUGUGAAGAAGGCCUUCGGGUUGUAAAGCACUUUCAGUGGGGAAGAAAGCCUUGGGGCUAAUACCCUCGAGGAAGGACAUCACCCACAGAAGAAGCACCGGCUAACUCCGUGCCAGCAGCCGCGGUAAUACGGAGGGGGCGGGCGUUAAUCGGAAUUACUGGGGUAAAGCGCGCGUAGGCGGUCUGAUAAGCCGGUUGUGAAAGCCCCGGGCUCAACCUGGGAACGGCAUCCGGAAUUGUCAGGCUAGAGUGCGGGAGAGGAAGGUAGAAUUCCCGGUGUAGCGGUGAAAUGCGUAGAGAUCGGGAGGAACACCAGUGGCGAAGGCGGCCUUCUGGACUGAAACUGACGCUGAGGUGCGAAAGCGUGGGUAGCAAACAGGAUUAGAUACCCUAGUAGUC